AGUGGGGAUGACUUCUCAGCUUCUGAUUUGUUAUUCUCUCCUAGAUAUAGAUCCCUAUUCCUGUGUGUAUAUUUAUUUUAAUUCUCUCAGGAUACAUGUGAAUUGUACUCUUUAUAGUUUACCUUCUAAAAUUCUUUUGGUAUUCAUGUUUGUAUGAACUAAAUUUUUUUUUCUGUUUCCUUUCCAUGGGAAAAUCACAUUUUCACCAGAGUGUUUGUGGUAGUGCCAUGAGCCUUGAUCAAAAUUUUGUUUUAUUUUGACUACUAAUAAGAUUGACAUUACUUUAAAAGCAAACAAAAGAGCUGAAAGGAACACAAAUGUAAAACAUUGACUGUUGGAUACUUUGUGUUCUGAAUAUAGGAGCUAGAAAAAACUCAAGAUGACCUGAUGAAACAUCAAACCAACAUUAGCGAGCUGAAAAGAACCUUCUUAGAAACCUCAACAGACACUGCCAUAACGAAUGAAUGGGAGAAGAGGCUUUCCACCUCCCCCGUACGACUGGCCGCCAGGCAGGAGGAUGCCCCCAUGAUCGAACCACUUGUCCCUGAAGAGAAAAUGGAAACCAAGACGGAGUCCAGUGGAAUAGAGACGGAACCCACCGUGCACCACCUGCCGCUUAGCACUGAGAAGGUGGUGCAGGAGACCGUGUUGGUGGAGGAGCGGCGUGUGGUGCACGCGAGUGGGGAUGCUUCUUACUCGGCGGGAGACAGGGGGGAUGCUGCAGCACAGCC
rnacentral:sRNA from 1 species